AGAGUUUGAUCCUGGCUCAGGACGAACGCUAGCGGCAGGCCUAACACAUGCAAGUCGUGGGGCAACAGAUCCUUCGGGAUGCUGGCGACCGGCGCACGGGUGCGUAACGCGUAUACAACCUACCCUUCAAAGGGGGAUAGCCCGAAGAAAUUCGGAUUAAUACCCCAUAGUUUCCUCUGAUCGCAUGUUUGGAGGAAUAAAGUUUCGGCGUUGAGGGAUGGGUAUGCGUCUGAUUAGCUAGUUGGUGAGGUUACGGCUCACCAAGGCUACGAUCAGUAACUGGUCUGAGAGGAUGGCCAGUCACACGGGAACUGAGACACGGUCCCGACUCCUACGGGAGGCAGCAGUGAGGAAUAUUGGACAAUGGGCGCAAGCCUGAUCCAGCCAUGCCGCGUGGUGGAUGACGGCCCUCUGGGUUGUAAACACCUUUUCUUCGGGACUAAUAAGGUGCUAUACGCACCGAUGCAGGUAUCGGAGGAAUAAGCACCGGCUAACUACGUGCCAGCAGCCGCGGUAAUACGUAGGGUGCAAGCGUUGUCCGGAUUUAUUGGGUUUAAAGGGUGCGUAGGCGGUCCAUUAAGUUAGUGGUUAUAGACUGCGGCUCAACCGUAGCACGCCAUUGAUACUGGUAGACUUGAGUGCGACAGAGGAGACUGGAAUGUGUGGUGUAGCGGUGAAAUGCAUAGAUAUCACACAGAACACCAAUUGCGAAGGCAGGUCUCUAUGCCGCAACUGACGCUGAGGCACGAAAGCGUGGGGAGCGAACAGGAUUAGAUACCCUGGUAGUCCACGCUGUAAACGAUGAUCACUAGGUGUUCGGUCUUAUGGACUGAGUGCCCAAGCGAAAGCGAUAAGUGAUCCACCUGGGGAGUACGUUCGCAAGAAUGAAACUCAAAGGAAUUGACGGGGGCCCGCACAAGCGGUGGAGCAUGUGGUCUAAUUCGAUGAUACGCGAGGAACCUUACCUGGGCUAGAAUGCCUCUGACAACCCUGGAAACGGGGCCUUCCUUCGGGACAGAGUGCAAGGUGCUGCAUGGUUGUCGUUAGCUCGUGCCGUGAGGUGUUGGGUUAAGUCCCGCAACGAGCGCAACCCCUAUCCUUAGUUGCCAGCAUGUAAUGAUGGGGACUCUAAGGAGACUGCCUCCGCAAGGAGUGAGGAAGGCGGGGAUGACGUCAAAUCAUCAUGGCCCUUACGCCCAGGGCGACACACGUGCUACAAUGGACGGUACAAUGGGUUGCGACACAGCGAUGUGAAGCCAAUCUCAAAAAGCCGUUCUCAGUUCGGAUCGGAGUCUGCAACUCGACUCCGUGAAGUUGGAAUCGCUAGUAAUCGCAGAUCAGCCAUGCUGCGGUGAAUACGUUCCCGGGCCUUGUACACACCGCCCGUCAAGCCAUGGAAGCCGGGGGUACCUGAAGUCGGCCUAUAAGCUGCCUAGGGUAAAAUCGGUGACUGGGGCUAAGUCGGAACAAGGUA
rnacentral:rRNA from 1 species